AGUGAACGCUGGCGGUAGGCCUAACACAUGCAAGUCGAACGGCAGCACAGUAAGAGCUUGCUCUUACGGGUGGCGAGUGGCGGACGGGUGAGGAAUACAUCGGAAUCUACUUUUUCGUGGGGGAUAACGUAGGGAAACUUACGCUAAUACCGCAUACGACCUACGGGUGAAAGCAGGGGAUCUUCGGACCUUGCGCGAUUGAAUGAGCCGAUGUCGGAUUAGCUAGUUGGCUGGGUAAAGGCCCACCAAGGCGACGAUCCGUAGCUGGUCUGAGAGGAUGAUCAGCCACACUGGAACUGAGACACGGUCCAGACUCCUACGAGAGGCAGCAGUGGGGAAUAUUGGACAAUGGGCGCAAGCCUGACCGAGCCAUACCGCGUGGGUGAAGAAGGCCUUCGGGUUGUAAAGCCCUUUUGUUGGGAAAGAAAAGCUGCAGGUUAAUACACCGAUGUUCUGACGGUACCCAAAGAAUAAGCACCGGCUAACUUCGUG
rnacentral:rRNA from 1 species